GAUCAUGGCUCAGGAUGAACGCUAGCUACAGGCUUAACACAUGCAAGUCGAGGGGCAGCGGGAGAGUAGCUUGCUACUCUGCCGGCGACCGGCGCACGGGUGAGUAACGCGUAUCCAACCUUCCCCCUAGUAGGGGAUAGCCCGGCGAAAGUCGGAUUAAUACCCUAUGUUCUCCUUUGAUGACAUCUGAUAUGGAGCAAAGAUUUAUCGCUAUGGGAUGGGGAUGCGUCUGAUUAGGUAGUAGGCGGGGCAACGGCCCACCUAGCCAUCGAUCAGUAGGGGUUCUGAGAGGAAGGUCCCCCACAUUGGAACUGAGACACGGUCCAAACUCCUACGGGAGGCAGCAGUGAGGAAUAUUGGUCAAUGGGCGUGAGCCUGAACCAGCCAAAGUAGCGUGCGGGAUGACUGCCCUAUGGGUUGUAAACCGCUUUUGUACGGGAAUAAAGUCGGGGACGGGUCCCCGUUUGCAUGUACCGUAAGAAUAAGGACCGGCUAAUUCCGUGCCAGCAGCUGC
rnacentral:rRNA from 1 species